UGCAAGUCGAACGGUAACGACACUAGCUUGCUAGUGGGCGACGAGUGGCGGACGGGUGAGUAACGCGUAGGAAUCUACCUAGUAGUGGGGGAUAGCCAAGGGAAACUUUGGGUAAUACCGCAUACGAUCUAAGGAUGAAAGGGGGCCUCUCUUUGAAGCUCUCGCUAUUAGAUGAGCCUGCGUAAGAUUAGCUUGUUGGUGAGGUAAUGGCUCACCAAGGCGACGAUCUUUAGCUGGUCUGAGAGGAUGAUCAGUCACACUGGAACUGAGACACGGUCCAGACUCCUACGGGAGGCAGCAGUGGGGAAUAUUGCACAAUGGGGGAAACCCUGAUGCAGCAACGCCGCGUGGAGGAUGACACAUUUCGGUGCGUAAACUCCUUUUAUAUAGGAAGAUAAUGACGGUACUAUAUGAAUAAGCGCCGGCUAACUCCGUGCCAGCAGCCGCGGUAAUACGGAGGGCGCAAGCGUUACUCGGAAUCACUGGGCGUAAAGAGCGUGUAGGCGGGUUAAUAAGUUUGAAGUGAAAUCCUAUGGCUCAACCAUAGAACUGCUUUGAAAACUGUUAACCUAGAAUAUGGGAGAGGUAGAUGGAAUUUCUGGUGUAGGGGUAAAAUCCGUAGAGAUCAGAAGGAAUACCGAUUGCGAAGGCGAUCUACUGGAACAUUAUUGACGCUGAGACGCGAAAGCGUGGGGAGCAAACAGGAUUAGAUACCCUGGUAGUCCACGCCCUAAACGAUGUACACUAGUUGUUGUGAGGCUAGACCUUGCAGUAAUGCAGUUAACACAUUAAGUGUACCGCCUGGGGAGUACGGUCGCAAGAUUAAAACUCAAAGGAAUAGACGGGGACCCGCACAAGCGGUGGAGCAUGUGGUUUAAUUCGACGAUACGCGAAGAACCUUACCUGGACUUGAC
rnacentral:rRNA from 1 species